rnacentral:rRNA from 1 species
UACGUAGGCAGCGAGCGUUGUUCGGAAUUACUGGGCGUAAAGAGUGUGUAGGCGGUGCUCUAAGUCUGUCGUGAAAUCUCCCGGCUUAACUGGGAGGGUGCGGCGGAAACUGGCGAACUGGAGUGCGGCAGAGGGGGGUGGAAUUCCGCGUGUAGCAGUGAAAUGCGUAGAGAUGCGGAGGAACACCGAUGGCGAAGGCAGCCCCCUGGGCUAGCACUGACGCUCAGGCACGAAAGCGUGGGGAGCAAACAGG